rnacentral:lncRNA from 1 species
UUCACAUGCGUGGCCAAAAGGAGUGAACGCUGGGUCUGCCACUCCCUAACCUUAUUUAAGGUCUGGUCGCCACAAGGGAAGUAUCUCUACUUGGAGAUCAUCUUCUUUAGAGUGUUUAGUAAGCUCUAAUUCUUGGAAAGGGUGAAGGGCGGAACUGAAUUCAGCCAACUUGUAUUGUUCAGAGCUGAUAGAAAUGUUCCUGACGCUAUCAGUGACAGCUCUUUCUAAAACUAAUUAGCACUCCUGAUUUUUUUAUACAACUGACUGAAGAUGAAAUAUAUCACCACCAGAAAAUUUCAUGAAGGAUGUGACACCCACAAGAAUGAAGUUGAAAUGCUUUGGAUUAAAUUCAGACCCGAUGGAAUUUAACUGGAGAAAAAUAAGUAUGAAUAGAUGGUUUCUGUGAUUCCACUAUAUUGUCUUGAGGAUUGGCUUCUUUUUUUCCUGUUGCCUUUUUAAUGGAUUUUGCAGUGGAAUUGCCAGAUGAUGGCCUGAAUAAAUGGUUGAGCACCAAGUGAGAAGGUGCGGCUAACUCAAGGAGCUCAGGUGCAAGCAACACAGCUGAAUGACAGGAAGGUGCGGAACCUGGAUCCACUCCUCCUUAGCCUCAUUUAAGGAAGAAUCAGAAAGCUAAGAUGGACCACACUGAAGCGAAGCCUAAACAACACACUUCAUGUGAUAAUUACCUAUAAGUGGUGAGGUAUGUCAGCUCUAACUCAGAACAGAAGUUCUGAAAGAUAAAUUAAAUCCUGUAGUAAACUUGCAAAAUCCUUGUUUGAUUGCUUUCAAAAAGGCAGGAAAAAAAAAAUAACUUCAUUAAAGCAAGAAGAGCAAAUUUCUACUGGCAAAGAGUCAGAAACUAAAGACCCUAAAUAUGCAAAAUAGGAAUAAAAUGUAGUGAGCAUAAUUCUGCUUUGUUAUCUAUUUGUUGCCAUUAUGCAAUAACCUAAAUUGAAUGAAUUAAAAGCAAAAUAUGAACACAUAAGGCUUAACAAGAUUACAAGAAAAGAAUGGGGGCUUAAAUUAUGGGCAUGCCAAAACUAUAAAAUAUGCACGUUUCUGCAAUAUCAGAGUGAACAAGACAAUUCUUUGUUUAAUAGAAUUUUUCCUUUCUGUAAUUACUUCAGUGUCUGGGUCCACAGAGAAAAUACCACUAGUAAACAAUUAUUUUGCCAUUUUUUUCUUCUUUAUAGUUGCUCGAUUAUUUUUAUUAGUAUUCAGUGCUGAACCAUUUCCUGUGUCAUGCUGGAUGGAACAUUCUUUUAUGCACUUACAUGAGCAAAUACAAGUCUUUUUUUUACCUAUUUCUUUGAAUAUUUUCACUAUGUAUAAAUCAACAACUUUCACUAGAUUAAGAGGUGAAGAGAUUUUGACUUUCUUAAUUCUCUUUAUUAACUAUGAAUCUUUUUGAAGCAUUGACUGUAGCAUGAUUAUUUUCACCUAAAUCUUACUGCACUUCAAUGCACUAUUAGAUAUACUUCAUUUUAGUAUUGAAUAAAAUGAUAGCGCUAUCAUUUGCAUCCUGGCUUAAGUACAAAUACUUGUAAGAGAUUAUUCUUUUGCAUCAUUGUCUCAAAGCUUGCUGAGGGACGCAAAUGAACAAGUCCAAGCAAGUCCUGACCAAGGAAAAUUGGGAAAAUCUUCCAUUGGAAAAUUCUUUGUCUGGUGUUGUAGUAGGCGCUUGACAGGGAUAUGUGCUGUAUGGGAUAGGCCUCUCCCUAAGCAGAGUGAAAGGGUGCUGUUGUGCUCAGACAGACUGUCCUUGCUAACAAAGUAAACAAGAUAAGAAGGCAAAGGAAUGAGGAGACCAUAGGAGCCAAAUAAGGAAUUGUGGUAAGGGGCUAAGAUCCAGUACGGACGAAUCAGGACAGGGCACAAUAGCUCAAGUAAGGUAUAUAAGCUGUGUGUAUUAGUGAAUAAACGCCAUUUUGCAGCAUCCCCAUAUUAGUGUCUGUGUUGCUAUGGUCCUAGCGAGCUCUUAUCGCUAGACCCUGAUGGUGCGGCUUGGGACUAUGGUGGUUGCCAGUGGCAACAGUCUGGAGGGACAACGGAUGGUGAAGGCCAGGGGCAACAAGAGAGAGACAGAGAGACGCUGCAGCCCAAUGACCAGGAAACAGUCUUUUGUGCGGACUUAUCUCAAGGGAGAUAGUCAUCUCAGGGUGCUCACACAACUCUUACCCAAGCGCCCAGGGAUGUCAGGUAGGCAGGGAAGAAGGAGGAUAAAAGAGGGACGAACAACCAUGAGGUUAGGGUUCUGACUAACCCUAGUUCUAGUCAGAACUAGGGUUCUGACUUCUGACUACAUAUCCCUCAUGAAGAAAAGAGUUUCUGACUACAGAUUUCUCAUGACCUGAGACCUGCAUGCUGAAGAACAAGAAGGUUUCUGACAUGAGAAGCCUCACGACCUGCCUCUCCCUCCUGGACUUGCUCUGUGCCCUUCCUGCUUUCUGUCUAAGGCCAGCCACUCUGCUGCUGCUCUCCCCCCGAGAAGGUAUCUGCCAUCAGAGCCCUCACUACGAAAGGCCUGCAUGCUGACAGACUCUCCAGGACCUGCUACUGGAGACUUGCUGCUUCCUCCCAGUCUUCUUCCUGGACCUACUCGGUACCUGCACCUUCUUGCUGCCUAAGACCAGCCACGCUGCUGCUGCUGUUCCUCUGCUGCGCUUUUGCCCCAGACCGUUGGAACAUCAUGCAACAGGACUACUGCCGGAUCCUGGUGGUGGCUAUCCCCGUUUCACGCAAUUCUUGCUUCUUUAUAUCUUUUCUAUCACCUGCCUUCCCUAUCACCCUAAAUCAUCCAUUCUCCCCUUCCCUAUCUCCCUUAUUACAAAUCUUAAUAAACAG